rnacentral:rRNA from 1 species
AUUGAACGCUGGCGGCAUGCCUUACACAUGCAAGUCGAACGGUAACGGGCCUUCGGGUGCCGACGAGUGGCGAACGGGUGAGUAAUACAUCGGAACGUGCCCGAUCGUGGGGGAUAACGAGGCGAAAGCUUUGCUAAUACCGCAUACGAUCUACGGAUGAAAGUAGGGGACCGCAAGGCCUUGCGCGGACGGAGCGGCCGAUGGCAGAUUAGGUAGUUGGUGGGAUAAAAGCUUACCAAGCCGACGAUCUGUAGCUGGUCUGAGAGGAUGAUCAGCCACACUGGGACUGAGACACGGCCCAGACUCCUACGGGAGGCAGCAGUGGGGAAUUUUGGACAAUGGGCGCAAGCCUGAUCCAGCCAUGCCGCGUGCAGGACGAAGGCCUUCGGGUUGUAAACUGCUUUUGUACGGAACGAAAAGCCUUCUUUUAAUACAGGAGGGUCAUGACGGUACCGUAAGAAUAAGCACCGGCUAACUACGUG